rnacentral:rRNA from 1 species
AUACGGAGGGGGCUAGCGUUGUUCGGAAUUACUGGGCGUAAAGCGUACGUAGGCGGACUGAUCAGUUGGGGGUGAAAUCCCAGGGCUUAACCCUGGAACUGCCUUCAAUACUGUCAGUCUUGAGAUUGGAAGAGGUGAGUGGAAUUCCUAGUGUAGAGGUGAAAUUCAUAGAUAUUUGGAGGAACACCAGUGGCGAAGGCGGCUCACUGGUCCAAUACUGACGCUGAGGUACGAAAGCGUGGGGAGCAAACAGGAUUAGAAACCCUAGUAGUCC